rnacentral:rRNA from 1 species
AUUGAACGCUGGCGGCAGGCUUAACACAUGCAAGUCGAGCGGGGGAAGGUAGCUUGCUACCGGACCUAGCAGCGGACGGGUGAGUAAUGCUUAGGAAUCUGCCUAUUAGUGGGGGACAACAUCUCGAAAGGGAUGCUAAUACCGCAUACGUCCUACGGGAGAAAGCAGGGGAUCUUUGGACCUUGCGCUAAUAGAUGAGCCUAAGUCGGAUUAGCUAGUUGGUGGGGUAAAGGCCUACCAAGGCGACGAUCUGUAGCGGGUCUGAGAGGAUGAUCCGCCACACUGGGACUGAGACACGGCCCAGACUCCUACGGGAGGCAGCAGUGGGGAAUAUUGGACAAUGGGGGGAACCCUGAUCCAGCCAUGCCGCGUGUGUGAAGAAGGCCUUAUGGUUGUAAAGCACUUUAAGCGAGGAGGAGGCUACUCUAGUUAAUACCUAGGGAUAGUGGACGUUACUCGCAGAAUAAGCACCGGCUAACUCUGUGCCAGCCGCCGCGGUAA